rnacentral:rRNA from 1 species
GGCUUAAUUUGACUCAACGCGGGGAAACUCACCAGGUCCAGACACAAUGAGGAUUGACAGAUUGAGGGCUCUUUCUUGAUUUUGUGGGUGGUGGUGCAUGGCCGUUCUUAGUUGGUGGAGUGAUUUGUCUGCUUAAUUGCGAUAACGAACGAGACCUUAACCUGCUAAAUAGCCCGUGCUGCUCCGGCAGCACGCCGGCUUCUUAGAGGGACUAUCGGCUCAAGCCGAUGGAAGUUUGAGGCAAUAACAGGUCUGUGAUGCC